AUGUUGCAGGAGGAUGGGGGUAUUGAUGAAGAUGUGAACCAUCGAAUCAAAGCCGGAUGGAUGAAGUGGCGCCAAGCUUCUGGCAUUCUCUGUGACAAGAGAGUGCCACAAAAGCUAAAAGGCAAGUUCUACAGGACGGCGGUUCGACCCGCAAUGUUGUAUGGCGCGGAGUGUUGGCCGACUAAAAGGCGACAUGUUCAACAGUUAGGUGUGGCGGAGAUGCGUAUGUUGAGAUGGAUGUGUGGCCACACGAGGAAGGAUCGAGUCCGGAAUGAUGAUAUACGAGAUAGAGUUGGGGUAGCACCAAUUGAGGAGAAGCUUGUCCAACAUCGUUUGAGAUGGUUUGGGCAUAUUCAGCGCAGGCCUCCAGAAGCUCCAGUGCAUAGCGGACGGCUAAAGCGUGCGGAGAAUGUCAAGAGAGGGCGGGGUCGACCGAUUUUGACAUGGGAGGAGUCCGUUAAGAGAGACCUGAAGGAUUGGAGUAUCGACAAAGAGCUAGCUAUGGACAGGGGUGCGUGGAAGCUUGCUAUCCAUGUGCCAGAGCCAUGA
rnacentral:rRNA from 1 species